rnacentral:rRNA from 1 species
GACGAACGCUGGCGGCGUGCCUAAUACAUGCAAGUCGAGCGCAGGAAGUCGACGGAACCCUUCGGGGGGAAGUCGAUGGAAUGAGCGGCGGACGGGUGAGUAACACGUAAAGAACCUGCCCUCAGGUCUGGGAUAACCACGAGAAAUCGGGGCUAAUACCGGAUGGGUCAUCGGACCGCAUGGUCCGAGGAUGAAAGGCGCUCCGGCGUCGCCUGGGGAUGGCUUUGCGGUGCAUUAGCUAGUUGGUGGGGUAAUGGCCCACCAAGGCGACGAUGCAUAGCCGACCUGAGAGGGUGAUCGGCCACACUGGGACUGAGACACGGCCCAGACUCCUACGGGAGGCAGCAGUAGGGAAUCUUCCACAAUGGACGAAAGUCUGAUGGAGCAACGCCGCGUGAACGAUGAAGGCCUUCGGGUCGUAAAGUUCUGUUGUAAGGGAAGAACAAGUGCCGCAGGCAAUGGCGGCACCUUGACGGUACCUUGCGAGAAAGCCACGGCUAACUACGUGCCAGCAGCCGCAGUAACAC